UGUCUCCGACUAUUUUUAAUUAUACAUUUUUAAAAACUCCCGCUCUUUCACUCCUGCUUAAAGAAUGGGACGUAAGAGUGCGCUCUCAUAUUUUUUCUUCAUUGGAAACUAUUUCGUAUAGUGUGUGCAUUAAUAUUUUUUAUUUAUUUACUCCACUUUUUUUCUGAUCAUACGUGGUCUGGUUAUGAUCAUUAUGGAGGGUAGAGGUACCUCUACCCUCCAUAAUUAUAACGUUAAACUAAUUAUUUAAUUUACAAAUUUUAAAGUUAAACUUCAAGUAUUGUGCUCACAAUGAUGGAGUGGCUCAUAAACAAAAUUUUCAUUUUAAGUAUUGCAACAGGAUCAAGAUUGAAAUUAUUGAAAUUUUAGAUCAAGCUAGAACUUAUAUAUGGCUGAUGGUCAACACACUGCAACUUCUAGAGUUCAAGUUCUUUUAGAAAAGCUAUGGUGUUAGCAUUACUCAGAGUCCCAGAAAAUCAAUCACAUGUUGAACAGUUACGCUUUUAACAUGAAAAAUUUCAAGUCUCUAUUGAAAAACACACACAGUAGUUCAGGUGGCGUAUAAAGUAGAAGCAUUAGUGAGUGAUAAUCAUUAUAAUCCUAAAAGUAUUCGAAAAGUUGCUUAAGAUAUGACAAGACAAUGGCAUCAACUUGUUACUUGUGCUGAAGAACGACAUAAAAUUAUAACUGCCAGCAUUCAUUUUUAGAAAACAGCUCAACAAGUAAAAUCUGUGCUGGAUAGUUUGGAGCGUUAGUGUAUUAUGUUAUAUGUUAGUAUGUAUCAUCAUGAUAAAGAUUGGUAUUUUGACGGAGAAAAAAGUAAUCAAGUACCAACGUUUAUCAAAACCGCGUACAAACAUCAAGGACAAAAGCAAGUUUUUCUUAAGACUUCGACUCUGGUACUGCGAACAGCAAAAAUAUUUUCAAAGUAUACAAAUAGAAGCUUGACAUUUCAUAGCUGUAGAACUACCCGUGGUGGAUCUGAAAAUAAGGUUAAAAAUAUUUUUUAAAAAUUAUUAAGUAAAGAAAAUAAAGUAUUGGAACAAUCGGGGCAACGUAAAAAACGGCUUGAUCAUUAUUAUCAAUAGCGUUCUUUUUGAACGUAGAGCUAAACAAGUUUUAGAAUGAAUACGUUUAACUGGUGAAUUUUACCUAGCCACACAUACAAAUGUUCAAAAAAAUUAUCUCGAAAAUGAAAAGCUUCUUCAAGGACAUAACCAAUUCCAAUGGUGCAUCAAAAAAAACAAGACAUCGAGUAAAAUUAUUAUUAUAACUGACUGACAAUUUAGCAGAAAAGAGACACGCUCACGCAAUACUCAUAAAAGAAUCUGUUACUAAAAUUGAUGAGCAUCAUAAACAUUUAAGUAUGGUCGUGGAUUGUUACAACACGCAAAUGGAAAAUGAUUUAAGAAUAAAAUCUGAUGAUUGUUAAAAAAAUUCAUCAAUAGAUCGUAAUUCAAACCCAUUACCAGAAAAAAAAAAUUAAAGGAACAGAUUGAAAAGAAUCAAAUGAAGAAACUAGAGGUUCUGCCGGAUAAAAAGAGUUUAUUAUGGUUGAAUUAUUACAUAGUAAAUGAAUUUAGAUAAAAAAUAUGGAGACGUAUAGACGGUGUUUCUUAGCGGAAACGCGAAAUGGAUGAGGCGUGACAGAAAAAAAAUAUGAAACAAUACCAGAGGGUGUUGGUCAUUAAUGGGUCAUUCAGGUUGCUAAAUUUGAUAUGUACGUUACGUGUUGUAACAAUAAACUAGAAAGCAAUUAAUUGUUAGUGGCUCACGGAGGGGUUUGGUUUGACUAUUUACAAAGAAAACAUCAUGUUGAGCAUCCAAUAGCUGCAUAUUUUAUUAAACUUGUACAACGAAUUAUUAAGUAUUGGUUACUGCGUAAGGAUUUGCAAGCAUAUUGUUAAGAAAGGCAGAGUGACAUAAAAUAUAAACUUGAGGAUUCUACUGGAAAA
rnacentral:lncRNA from 1 species